rnacentral:misc_RNA from 1 species
GGCGGCAUAUAGAAUAAGGAGGGCGGCAAGAAUGGCGGCGCGCAUAUCGGCGUCUCCUUGUGUAAAGGGGAAACGCUUGAACUGUUGGGUAAUAAUAUAGAACAAGCGGUUGGAAGGAAAUAUUUCAAAGUCGCCCGCGUUUGUGCGGUUCCUCUUCCCGUUCUCGUUUCACGCGCUCGGCCCAAUCUUCUCGCCUUUUCUCGUGCUGAUGCUCGGAACAGAACCAUCCCGCUGCAAAGCCAAUACUGAGAGCGGUAGCCUGUUUGAAGAAACGGAGGGGCCAGGGGUUGGGCG